rnacentral:lncRNA from 1 species
CCUUAGACCCUUAGUGCUCAUACCAGUAGUGCCUGCAAAAUAUAACAUGUAUGAUCCUUCAUGCAUGUCCUUGUUGCAAUACGGUCAACUGCCCAUGCUUGUUACUAUUACUUCACAAGUCAUGAGCUGCACAAUUCUGCAACCUCACACUUACUGUGUGAUUUACUUAACAAAGGUGUUGGGCGUCGCUAACCCUGGCCUGUUAUAUAUCUCUAGCCCAUUUGCUAUAUAUGCGUGUUAUGUUCACUCGCCUUCCUAUUCUUGUAAUACCACGCGGUGUUAACAAGAUUAAAUGCUUCAGUUUCGAUGUGCCUCCUUGAAGAGCUGAGACUUUAGAAGAAACCGAAAGAAGAUGUGCACCAUCGGCCUGAUCUCCAUCACAGAGGUGCAAACUUCACGAAACUGUGACCGUAAAACACACUGCUAGCAACCAGAGUGUUGAAUAAACCCGAGUCUGCAGUGUUAGCUAGUGUCUGUUUUUCUUCAGUUUCGUUAGUUUGGUUAGUUAGUUCAGGUGUUUCAAUCAGCGAGAAUAGCUCGAGGUUAGUUAACAUCAAGAGCGAGUCUGGUGCCCCUCUGAUCGCUCGUGGGAUGGCACGAGCACCACGAUCGGUGGUGGCGCAUAGUUAGGGGCCAUGAGCCCGUUUCCUUUGCUGUACUCUGCAUAAAUUCAGUGAAUCGAACAACAGAAAAGUCGUAAGUUUUGCGCGGUGCAACCUCUCUGUUCUCCUUCCUCCUUACCGUCGAAAGAGUGAGAGAGAGAAAACCAGAGAGAGAGGCAAGUUUUGCCGACAAUUGGCAUCACAGCCUAGUUCCUACCUUGGGAAUGGCACCAGAUGAGUCCGCUGGAAGUAAUAGUUGAAGCCAAGUAAUUUCAGUGCGUGGACUGGAGGAACACAAUUCAAUUCAAUUUUGUUACUGAUAUCAAAAUAUAGCCAAUUGUGGGCUAUAUUUUGUCAACUUUUCACAGGUUGGAGAUAUGCUAUUACAAAAACUGAACUUGGACAUAUGCCACUCUAACUUUCUUAUACCUCUAUGCAUGCCAUUUUGUCAACUUAAAAGAAUAACAGUUCAAAUAAUACAUCUAUUUCGGCGUGUACUCAAGUAUUUACCAUACUACUCCUCUUUCCAACUUUCAGCAGCACGUCUGGGUCUUCCAUGCACCAAAAAGUGUGAUUUUUUAAUUUUAACAGAAAAUGCAUACUUGUCAGAAAAAAUUAUGAUGCCUUAAAUACACGAUAUUUGGGCAGCAUUUUGGCUCAAAUUAACACAGAUUAACAAGCAGAAUUCAUAUAGAUUCAUAAACAAGAUCACAAUCAUGAUUUAACUUAGUAAAUAGGUUUACAUAAGCAAGUUCAUAAGGAGGUUCACAAGCAUAACUUAGUAAAUAGGUUCACAAGCUGCUAGCCACCAAGCCAAUAAAGAAGGCUUCGUUUUGCACCAUUCGUAGGCUGCCCUUCUCGAGAUGGAGGCGGAGGUGGAGGUAUAACAGGUGCAAAUGGAACAUUUUUCUUCACUUUCUUCCCUUUAGUUGUCUUCUUGGAUUUCUCUUGUGAUGAAGCUUUCUUCACAUGACUCUUUUUCUUGGUCAUCUCUUGUACUGCAACUAUCUUCACAGGUGUCUUCUUGGCUGAUGUAUUGGUCUUUUCUGGUUCCUUCCGCUUCUGUGGAGUUGUUCUGGCCCUUUUCCUGCAUUGACAACAUUUGUUUUAGACUGAGUAAUCAUAGAUUAAGGCAAGUGCAGUAAUUUACCUUAUAAGAUUGAUAAGGACUUCAUCAUCUCCUGCAUCACCAUCUGUUGUAGUCGUUGUUCCAUCACACUUCUUCCUGCAGUACAAAGAAGAAAAAUCAUUUUUGUGAAGAUUAGUUAUGAAAAAAUAUUCAGAAAAUACUUAUGUUGUAGCAGUUUUUUGCAUCACCUUUUGUUUGUCGGUGUAGAUGAAUCCUCUAUAGGUAUAUCAUCAUCUACUGCCAUAUAUUCAGGAUUAGGAAUCUUGCAUGUCUUCUGCAUGUGCCCAGGUUCACCACACCUCUUACACUUGACUAUUUUCCUUCCGGGCUCUAGCCAUCCUCUAAUCCUCUGAACUCGUGGCCUACCAGCCACUGUUUGCUGCAAAGGAGGGUGCACCUUGAAACCCAAAUCCACUUGUAUCCAUUGUGACUUAUCUGUCAUGGAAGGGAUGUUCCCAGCAUAUGCUGCCUUGAACUUUUCUACAGAAUAGUAAUCAUCCACAUAUGUUUGAAUCUCAGCACCGUUAAUGCUACAAAUGAAGGCCAAUGCGUGCAUGCAUGUCUUUCCUGAAACUUGCCAAACUCUACAAGUACAUGUUCUAUAUUUUAAGUUAACAAUGUGUCUUUUGACAAAUUUCAGAUCCAACAAGGUGACUUCUGCUCAUUUUCACUUGUCCAAAGAAUCUUGUUUCGACCAAUGGUUUUGCUGAGAGCAUUUAGUUGCUUAAUGACAUGAGGAAGAAUCCUACCCUUUAGCUGCUUACUUACUUGACCUCUAAUAUAGAACUUCUCUGUGAUGAUCUCCCUAAUUUUAUCAAAAAGGUUGAGGACAUUGAUCCCUUUGAAGUCUUUUAUUUGCUUGUUGAAACUCUCAGAUAUGUUGUUCGUCAGAUAAUCAACCUUACUGGCCUCGCCAAAACCACAUCUAUACCACAACCUAUUGUGAUGAAUCUCUAGAUAUUCAAUAGCUGUUGGAUUUGCUUCCCUAAUUUUCUUCAUAUGAUACAUAAACUUUCGAUGUGAGAAAGACCUUGCAGCUGGAUAAAGAUUUUCUGUGUACACUUUACCAUGGAAUUUCUUCAUAAAAUUUGCAUACAAGUGCCUGACGCACUCUCGGUUUUCACAGUUAGGGAACACAAGGUCAAUGGCAGUCUCUAAUCCUUUGCAAGCAUCACUAGAAAUAACAAGACCAGGUGGGGAACCUAUAGCUCUAUGUAGUUGUUUCAUGAACCAUUUCCAAUUUUCACCGGUUUCUGAAUCAAACACAGCAAAUGCUACAUAAUAUAGCCAAUUGUGCCCAUCUACAGAAGUUGCUGAUGCUAACUGACCCUUAAACUUGCCAUUAAGUGCUGUUGAGUCCACACCAACAUAGGGCCUACAACCAGCUAAGAAACCAUCGAUGCAAGGCUUGAAUGCAACAAACAUUCUGUUAAAAUGAUAUUUAUCUCCAUUUUUUAACAGCUCUAUCUCUAUAAUACUCCCCGGGCAUUUAUUUUCUAUCUCAGCUUUCCAGUUAAAAAGCAAUGGAAAACAAUCUUCAUAACUACCAUGAAUUUGAUAAAGUGCUACCUUCAUACCAUCCCAAGCCUUGUUAUAUUUCAGCUUGAUGUUGAACUCAUCUUCCAACUUUCCUUUGGCGUCUUUUGCACCAACACCAGGAUUUUUCUUCACCCAAUCCCCAAUCUUAUCUGCAAUCCAUCCUUGUGAAGCCAUUGUGCAAAUUGACAAUUUUGUAGUUGGACAAUUGUGCUCAAAUGGAAGUGUUUUUAUCUGCAAAAAACAUGAGGACUACAUAAAUCAGAUGCAACAAAAAAAAUCUACAUAAGAUAAAAAGUAGCUUUGUAAACAACCCAUACCAUCACGGUUCUACCGUCUUGCAGUGUGGAUGCAUGUAUGCGCCAUGGACAUGGCCCAUGUGCACACUCAGCCAUGAACCUAGUUUUGUCUGUUUUGAUUUUAGCCAACUUAAACCCAACUAAAAUAGCAUGUUGCCUUAUAGAUUUUCUGAAAGUCACAAUGUCAGGAAAGAGAGCCCCAACCCUUAUGUCUGGGUUCUCAGCGUCAUGCACCACAGUAUAGCCUGCAGGAUCAAUAUCAAUCACUUCUUCCUCCUCAUGAUGCACAAACACAUCAGCGCCAGUAUCCUCUUCCUCCCAAAUCUUAUUGCCCUGCUCAAUAGAUUCCACUGGGACUGGAGCAGAUGGCUCCACAACAUACAUGUACUCAUCAUCUACCCCUACGUACUCCUCAACCAUGUCAAAUGGAUCAGUUUCUAGAACUAGCGUAGAUGGGUCUACUUGUGCAGAUUGCUUUAAAGGAAAAUCUUGCAUACCCAUCAGCAGCACAUCAUUAUCAGCAAUAGUUGCCUCAGGCACAUGAACAACAUUGUCAAUGAUAGGUACAGGAGUUUCAGAAUCAGAGUUAUCAAGCACAACAACGGUCAAUGUAAGCUUCUUCUCUGCUUUGUACAUGUGAAACAUCACAUGAAGUUGAUCCUUAUGAGUUAGUCUAACAUCUUGCGCCAUUAUCAUGUCAAAAUACCACACAGUGACACUCUGAUUCCUGCCAACUCUCAGCUCUGCACCUAAGCCAUCCAUGAGCACAUCCAUUGUGAAAUAUUCAGAGUCUACGUUCCAUGUAAUUGUUUUUCCCUUCACAUAUGAUUUCCUACCGCUCUGUUCUUUCAAUAGAAACCCUUCAAGAACUAGGUCUAAGCUAAAAAUAUUCGUUGGCUCGUACCUACAAAUUUCAUGCAAAAGUAUCACGGGUAAAAGGCUAUUUGAAUUAACAUCCAUGAAAAUAUUCAGUUAACAGUGCAAGGGCUGGGGCAUGAGCUUCAGGCAUCAUGAACUCACUCGUACAACGUGGGGCUCUCGGACUCCAUGGAUCCAUCCAUGGAUCCAGCAAGCUGCCGUCGUACGCGUCUCAGGCCGCAGCGGCGCGAGCCAACAGCCGCGACGCUCGCCUCCCGCCUCCCGCUGCCUUGGGCCUCGCCGCGUCGAGCAAGCCGCCGUCGCCCGCGUCUCCAGCCGCAGCGGCGCGAGCCAAUAUCCGUGGCGCCCGCCUCCCGGUCCUGCCGCGCCGAGCAAGCCGUCGUCACCCGCGCCUCCAGCCGCCGCCGCCCCCGCGCUAGGGUUCGUGUGUGUGAGUUAGGGUUCGUGUGUGUGAGUUAGGGUUCGUGUGUGUGAGUCGGGUGGAGACGCGGUGUGGUGUGUGUGGUGUAUGUAUGUGUGUGAGUUGGCUUGGUGUUUCACAGGUACGUAUAUGUAUGCAUGCACGUAUAAGGGAUGUAUAUGGCUUGAUAUUGGAGAAAAUGGCAUGGAUAAAAAUACGAAAAAGUUGUAGUGGCAUAUGUCCAAGUUCAGUUUUUGUAAUGGCAUAUCUCCAACCUGUGAAAAUUGGAGUGGCAUAGAUCCAAUUAACCCAUUUUAUUAUGACAAAACGGAUUUCAGCGGUGGUAUGCUGGAUCUUACCUAAGUGGCCGCCGCCGGCGGAGAUUGCCCUUCGUUUCGGAGCGCUUCGACUCCCUCCUCGUUCUAUUCCUCUCCGGCGGCUCCCUCGAUCGGCCCCUUCUCUCGUCGCCGAUGCAGCGGGGGAUGACGAGGAAUUGGUGAGGUGGAGAUUGCUCCGUAGCAGAGGCCGUCAAGAUGCGGUCCUGAACUGGGCCCACUAAGACGAUUGGUUCGCAGGAUGGGCUUCCGCAGAUGGGUCGUGUAAGAUGGGUUGCCGCGCAUCAAGGUUUGAGACGACCAUAUAUAAGUUUCGCAAAAAGAAAAAGACGACCAUAUAUAAAUAGAAGUUGAAUUUUUUCAGAACUCGUGAAUUUUAAUAAAGGGCACUGCUACACGUCCUCCGAUAGUUAUUUAGUAAACGUCCACCAACAGAAUAGCCGUCGGAUCUCCGCGCGCAAAGUUGUCUACGGCUGUCCGAUCUCAUUACUCGCACAACGGCUCGGUCGCUUCGUGAAACAACAAGACAGUUGCAGAAACAACCAUCCGAUCUUCUUUCCGUGGGCGUGCCAAAUCGUUUUCCCUUUGAAACAAGACCUAUAUUUCGGAAACAAGAAUGAGGCUGCAUAAAUGGUAGUCGUAGGAUUGCGAGCUCGAUAACCGUCCGAUCUUCUUCACGUACGUGUACCAACCCAUUUUUUCUUUGAAACAAGACCUAUGUUUCUAAAACAAGAACGCCGCUGCAGAAAAAAUAUAAUCCUAAAUCAUGCGAUAGAGUGGCGUCUUUCAUCACUGCAACAAAGUUGUUGUUGCAGAAAAUAUUUUACGACAUAGGUCUUGUUGCAGAAAUCUUUACAGCACAUGUCUUGUUGCAGAAAUCCGUCUUGAAAUCCUCAUCGUCGUUGCCCUUCCAACCGCACGAGUGUCCACCGCUGCAAACUGUCUUUUUCUGAAUCAAAUGCUCAGUUGCAGAAAAACAUGGACACAAAAAAGUUUUCUUACGACCGUACAAUCAAAAGCAAAUCCAACAUAUGCAUCCGCAAAACAUUAAUUAAGUUCCUUGCAAAUCCAAACGAUAACAAUUGUUGUUGCAUUAGACCCUUAGUGCUCAUACCAGUAGCGCCCUGCAAAGUAUAACAUGUAUGAUCCUUCAUGCCCUUGUUGCAAUACGGUCAAGUGCUCAUGCUUGUUACUGUUACUUCACAAGUCAUGAGUUGUACAAUUCUGAAACAUCACACUUACCGUGUGAUUUAUUUAACAAAGGGUUUGGGCGUCGCUAACUCUGGCCUGUUAUAUAUCUCUAGUCCAUUUGCUAUAUAUGCUUGUUCUGUUCACUCGCCUUCCCAUUGUUGUAAUGCCACGAGGUGUUGAACAAGAUUAAAUGCUUCAGUUUUGAUGUGCCUCCUUGAAGAGCUGAGACUUUAGAAGAAACCGAAAGAAGAUGUAGACCAUUUUCUUGAUAUCCUCUGGAGUGGUGCGCACUUCACAGAACUUUGACCUUAAAACACACUGCUAGCUACCAGAGUAACAAUAGAUCAAUUCGGGCACAGUGUAUCCAAAUUCACCGUACCAAGCUUUUGGCAUGUGAAAUCCGAUGAUUAGGUACAAAUAUGCAGCACAAUGUAUCAUAUUUUUUAUAAUAACCGUGAAAGACGCGAGGAGGAUUGGCGUGAGCUGGAUAAAUGCACUUAUAGCAGAAUUCUCUCAUUUUUCUCUUAAUUCCCAAGAUUGUCACUCGCGAAGAAAGUUCCAGUAAUGAUCGUCCCAAAUAAGGGCUUCAGAUUGCUUCAUAAAACAUUUGUCUAUACAACUGAAAAAGAGGCGCGUCGAGGACGACGACGCUCAGUGCCCCUGCAGCGAUGGGGCACAGGUGGGCGGCGGCCUGGAGUACCUCGCGGUGGAGGGGCGUUCAUGUAC